GGAUUAGAUACCCUGGUAGUCCACGCCGUAAACGAUGCUCACUCGCUGUAUGCGAUACACAGUAUGCGGCCAAGCGAAAGCAUUAAGUGAGCCACCUGGGGAGUACGAUCGCAAGAUUGAAACUCAAAGGAAUUGACGGGGGCCCGCACAAGCGGAGGAACAUGUGGUUUAAUUCGAUGAUACGCGAGGAACCUUACCUGGACUUAAAUGUAGAUUGACAGGAACCGAAAGGUUUUUUUCUUCGGACAAUUUACAAGGUGCUGCAUGGUUGUCGUCAGCUCGUGCCG
rnacentral:rRNA from 1 species